rnacentral:rRNA from 1 species
UACGGGGGGGGUAAGCGUUGUUCGGAAUUACUGGGCGUAAAGGGCUCGUAGGCGGCCAACUAAGUCAUACGUGAAAUCCCUCAGCUUAACUGGGGAAUUGCGUGUGAUACUGGAUGGCUUGGAUUUGGGAGAGGGAUGCGGAAUUCCAGGUGUAGCGGUGAAAUGCGCAGAUAUCAGGAAGAACACCCGUGGCGAAAGCGGCUCUCUGGAACGGUGCUGACGCUGAGACGCGAAAGCGUGGGGAGCGAACAGG